CACUUUAUUUGUAUUUUUUCAGGUUAGCUUUCAGCAGAAGUUCCCUGAGCUAGUUGGAUGCAAGGUUUCCUGACUGCUCAUACUCAGAAGAGGCAUGCUAAGAACACUGAGCAGUGCUUGAUGAACAGACUGUAGCUUCUUGCUGUUGAGUUGUCAUUCAGAUGAGCUACAUUAUCAGGACAGCCUAAAUCUUACAAUGGAUUGUUAUCUGUGUUCUCAGGAUGAGAUCAACCAGCAAAAGUGAGAGUUGGUUGCAAUGAAAGUGUUUAAGAAAGCUGAAUGAUGCCUGCUGGCAUUGUGGGCAAAGCAUUCUUGGCAUGGGCUGGAUGGCAGAGGACUCCCAGCCUCACUGUGGACCAUCCCUGGAGCACAUUAUGUGACACAGGCCCCAGCUCUCCUCACUGUGGACCAUCCCUGGAGCACAUUGUGUGACACAGGCCCCAGCUCUCCUCACUGUGGACUAUCCCUGGAGCACAUUGUGUGUCACAGACCCCAGCUCUCCUCACUGUGGACCAUCCCUGGAGCACAUUGUGUGACACAGGCCCCAGCUCUCCUCACUGUGGACUAUCCCUGGAGCACAUUGUGUGUCACAGACCCCAGCUCUCCUCACUGUGGACCAUCCCUGGAGCACAUUGUGUGACACAAGCCCCAGCUCUCCUCACUCUGGUGGAGCAGUGGGGAUGCCCUCCUUGGCUGGCUGUGCUGCUCGGGGCUGACUCGCUUGGAGGGGUAAGCUGUCCUUGGGCCAUGGGGUGCUCUGGAGUGUGCAGGUGGGGCUGGCCUGGUGACAUUCAUGUCCUGGGCUGUGAGUGAGUUGCUGUGUUGGGUUUGCCUGCAGUGAUUCAGUUUCAAUUUUUAAAACACGGAGCUCUCUUGUCAUUUGUAGCAGCCUCCCAGCACAGUGUUAGCCCACAGUGUGGCUCAGAACUGGUGUCUGUGGAGGUCCUGAAUGGAAACCAAUUACUACCUUUUGGAUAAAACCCCAGAUGUGCCAUGGCCAGUGAGCUUCUGAACCAAGAAGAAAGAUAAAGGUGUGUCUUUUUUCCCUCCAAAAAGAAUAGCAUUUACCACACCUUUAAUUCCGAAUUUACCAGUUUUCCAAUUUUUCAAUUGAUCAGACCGUGCCUUUACUUUGCCUGUGUGUGUAUUUAUAGCAGUGUAACACUAAACCAGAUUUGCCUUUGUUUUUGUGAUUUAUGCAUUUUUUUCUUGAACAGGAAAACAUUCAUUAUCAAAUGUUGUGAGAACAAUACAGUAACUGGAGGUUAUUUCAUAUGAAAAUAUUGUUGAUUGUUCCUCCUGUAGAAAUCUCUCUUGGCAGCUCACUUCCUGCCGAAUGAAUCAGCAAAAGCUGCUCAUGAAAGUUGUUAAUAUAUUAUACAAUCACCCAGCACUGCACUUGCUUCUUAUCUAUGAAGUCCAUUUGUGAUCAAUUAUUCACAUCACCUUUUGAUUAUAGUCUCUGAGCACAAACAGUUUCUUAAUAUAAAUUAAUGGCCUUGGAAUUUCUAAAUAAACAUUCCCUUUAGUUUAGCAUCAUUUCCUAUUUUCGUAUCAAAACAGAAUCUUAUUGUAAUUGUUCAGUUUUCACUGGAAAAAGUGUUUGUGGCCUGGAAUGUUCUCAAAAAACAAGCAGUUCCUUUCAAAGCUAAUAGCGUUGAUUUACAAGGUCUAAUGUGCCAUGGUAAUUGAAUAUUGCUAGGAAAUACUACAAAAAAACAGCUAGAGUGGUGUGAUACUUUAAAUAAUGAUUCUUGUACACAUUUAGCGGAAAAGAUAUUUUCUCUUGAAGUAUAGCAUUAUUUGGCAAUGUUGUUUGCUAGAUUGCUUUUACUUUUUCUUUUAUAGUAAUAAGACCCAGCUAUCUAAGCAGCAGAUAGUCAAGGUACUUGCUUUAAAUUUCCUGAUUGCUGUUAACACUACUGAAUAGUCAUGGACUUUUCAGCAAAAAGAAUACUGAAGAUUUCCUCUGGCCAGAUUUGACUAGAAGGACAAUUAAAUACCAACCAUCACACAGUGGUAACCUCAUGUCAACUGUCCCCUGUUAUAAACUACAGGGAAGCACAAGUGGAGAAUGUAGCAGAAGCAUCAGCCUGACCUGCACAGCACUGGUGCAAAAAACUGUCUGGUAAUAUUCCUUUCUAGAGGCAAGGUUAUUUCACUUAAAUCAAUUAUGUGGAGUACUAACUAAACUGAAAUAAGAACCUGAGAGACUGAAAAUGCCUGUGGAGGUAUUUAGUUUAAUUAACUAUUAGCUAAAGUGAUUCAAGCCUAUGUUCAGACAAGGUUGGUUUUUUUUUCCCCUUCCUGAAGUAUUAAAAGAAUAAAUGCCAUGAUAAAAAUGAUCAAACUUCUGAGUGGGUUGUUUGUAGUAGUUUCAAUUGAAGCAUUUCAGUUUGCAGUGAGAAUAGACUCAAGAGGGGGCACCAUGUCUGUCACUCACUGUGGCUCAGCUGACAGAGCAACUCAUCCAGCUGGGAUCACUAGGCCAUCACCAGUCAGAUGUCCAUCAUGCACUCAUCUCACCCUCAAAAGUAGUUUUAAUUCCUGACUUGUUCAUACCCCAAACUAGAACAGGGGCUGUUUUUCUCAGGAAAGUUCUCCUGGGUUACACAAGGAGUACAAAU